rnacentral:rRNA from 1 species
GACGUAGGUGGCGAACGUUAUCCGGAAUUAUUGGGCGUAAAGGGCGCGUAGGUGGUUUGAUAAGGGUGUGGUGAAAGUCCGGGGCUCAACUCCGGAUCUGCCGUGCCGACUGUCAAACUCGAGGGCUGUAGAGGCAGACGGAAUUCCGGGUGUAGCGGUGGAAUGCGUAGAGAUCCGGAGGAAGACCGGUGGCGAAGGCGGUCUGCUGGGCAGUUUCUGACACUGAGGCGCGACAGCGUGGGGAGCAAACAGG